rnacentral:lncRNA from 1 species
CGUGCAUCCAGCCACUUGAUGAUUUCAAACGAAUUGUACCGUUCUGCGCGCUUGCGGCAACGCGCAGCCGAAUAGGGACAGCCGGCUUCGAUGGCCCAGGCGAGCGUCGCGACAUGAUUGCCUGUCGCCGCCCUUUCGCACGUUCGCUCGUCCCACGGACAAUCUCGCGCGCACAGCCACUCGAGCACGUCGAGGCGGCCGCCCUCGGCCGCCGCUUUGCACGUCGUUGGGCCGAUAGGAAGCCCCUGCUUCACGACGAGCCAUUCGAGAAUAGACAGUCGACCGCGGCGUGCGGCCUCAUCGCACACAUUGCCGUCGUGUUUGCUGGGCCGGUAGUCAUGCGCAGCGGCCCACACGAGCACAGACAGGUGGUUGUUGACGAUCGCGCAGAACCACAUGGCAUGGUGCCACGGACAAUCGUGCGCGCGCAGCCAGUCGAGCACGGCCACGUGGCCAUUUUCGAUAGCGAAUCGGCAUGUAUUGGCGCGUAGCGUGCACCCUUGAGCGAGCGUCCACUCGAUGAUGUCGAUGCGACCGGCGGCCGCCGCAGCAUCACACGUGGCGUUUGUCAUUGACCUAUCUUCUCGACGGUGGGCCUCGCGCAGGUCGUCAAAGAGCCCGCUGCCCGCAAACCCGGUGCACACAUCGCCCCAUUCGCACCCGUUUUCAGCAGCCCACCAGACUACGUGGGCGUGUCCGUGCGCCGCCGCCCAGUCGCACACGUGCCACGUCCACUCGCACCCGAUCGACCGGAGCCACUUGAGAACGUCGAGAUGGCCUCCUUUGGCAGCAUAGGCGCACGUAAAGUCGCCGCACUUGUAGCCCCUGGCGUGGUACCACCGAAGCGCGUCCAGAUGGCCGUUCUCUGCCAUCGUGUCGCACAUCUCGUAGAUGACCGGUUCAGGACGGUCGCCAUUAACCCAUUCGAUCAUGUCGAUGCGACCCGAUGCCGCCGCCCUCACGCAUACGGCGGCCGACACGUAGCAACCCUUUUCCUCUGCGAGCCAGCGCGCCAGCGCGAGAUGACCGCCGCCGACGGCCGCCACGAGAAAUCGCUCUUGCCACUUUUGGUCGACCUCGGGCGGCCAGGAGCGUUGGACGGCAUCGAGGUCGCCUCGCGCCGCCAUCUCCCUCACAAAUGCGCGUUGGUCGGGGAGGGCCUCCGUAUGAUACCGCAGUCGCGCUGUAAUCAGGCCGCGCCACUGCCGGUAGACGCGCCGUGCCGACAAGAGGUCGAAAAUAUCGAGGACGCCGAGGAUGGCGUCGACGAUUUCGGGCGGGAGGUCAUCGCAAGCAAGUCGUCGUCUCUUGGCCGUCUCAGAUUCUGCCGUAUUGGGGCUCGACGACCGCACAGGGUCAUCGCAUUUUCGGUCCAAAGCGUUGGACUUUCUUUUCAUGUCGGCGGUUGUAUGGUCCGUGGUCGUCUCUCGAAAAAGAAAAUGGCUUUUUGGCACGGCGCAAC